UACGUAGGGUCCGAGCGUUGUCCGGAAUUAUUGGGCGUAAAGAGCUCGUAGGCGGUUUGUCGCGUCUGCUGUGAAAUCCCGAGGCUCAACCUCGGGUCUGCAGUGGGUACGGGCAGACUGGAGUGCGGUAGGGGAGAAUGGAAUUCCUGGUGUAGCGGUGGAAUGCGCAGAUAUCAGGAGGAACACCGAUGGCGAAGGCAGUUCUCUGGGCCGUAACUGACGCUGAGGAGCGAAAGCGUGGAGAGCGAACAGG
rnacentral:rRNA from 1 species